GGAGGAAUAUUGGUCAAUGGACGGAAGUCUGAACCAGCCAAGUAGCGUGCAGGAUGACGGCCCGAUGGGUUGUAAACUGCUUUUAUACGGGGAUAAAGUUAGGGACGUGUCCCUAUUUGCAGGUACCGUAUGAAUAAGGACCGGCUAAUUCCGUGCCAGCAGCCGCGGUAAUACGGAAGGUCCGGGCGUUAUCCGGAUUUAUUGGGUUUAAAGGGAGCGUAGGCCGUAGAUUAAGUGUGUUUUGAAAUGUAGACGCUCAACGUCUGACUUGCAGCGCAUACUGGUUUACUUUAGUUUGCACAACGUUGGCGGAAUUCGUCGUGUAGCGGUGAAAUGCUUAGAUAUGACGAAGAACUCCGAUUGCGAAGGCAGCUUGCGGGAGCAAAACUGACGCUGAAGCUCGAAAGUGCGGGUAUCGAACAUG
rnacentral:rRNA from 1 species